GACGAACGCUGGCGGCGUGCUUAACACAUGCAAGUCGAACGAUGAACCACUUCGGUGGGGAUUAGUGGCGAACGGGUGAGUAACACGUGGGCAAUCUGCCCUUCACUCUGGGACAAGCCCUGGAAACGGGGUCUAAUACCGGAUACAACCACUACAGGCAUCUGUGGGUGGUGGAAAGCUCCGGCGGUGAAGGAUGAGCC
rnacentral:rRNA from 1 species